rnacentral:rRNA from 1 species
AACUCUGAGACGUGAUACCGAGCCGCUUCAGGCGAAGUCAUUGAUCCUAUGCUGCCUAGAAAAGCCCAGCAGCGAGUUGACAUGGUGCCCGUACCCCAAACCAACACAGGUGGACAGGUAGAGCAUACCAAGGCGAGUGGGAUAACUAUGGUUAAGGAACUCGGCAAAUUGCCUCCGUAACUUCGGGAGAAGGAGGACCCCAGUAGCGUGAUGAGACUUGCUCUCUGAGCGUGAAGGGGUGGCACAAAAUUGAGGGAAGCGACUGUUUACCAAAAACACAGCAGCGUGCUAAGCCGUAAGGCGCUGUAUACGCUGUGACUCCUGCCCGGUGCUGGAAGGUUACGGGGAUGGGUUAGUCCUUCGGGACGAAGCUCUGAACCUAAGCCCCAGUAAACGGCGGCCGUAACUAUAACGGUCCUAAGGUAGCGAAAUUCCUUGUCGGGUAAGUUCCGACCUGCACGAAUGGAGUAACGACUUCCCUACUGUCUCAACCAUAGACCCAGCGAAAUUGAAGUACGAGUAAAGAUGCUCGUUAGCUGCAGAAGGACGGAAAGACCCCGUGGACCUUUACUAUAACUUGAUGUUGUGUUUUGUCAUAUGUUGUGUAGGAUAGGUGGGAGACUUGGAAGCAUGGACGCUAGUCUGUGUGGAGUCAUCGUUGAAAUACCACCCUGCAUAUGGUGAGGCUCUAACCUAGACCCGUUAUCCGGGUUGGGGACAGCGUCAGGCGGGUAGUUUAACUGGGGCGGUUGCCUCCUAAAGAGUAACGGAGGCGCCCAAAGGUUCCCUCAGCCUGGUUGGCAAUCAGGCGUUGAGUGCAAUGGCAAAAGGGAGCUUGACUGCGAGACCUACAAGUCGAGCAGGAGCGAAAGCUGGGCAUAGUGAUCCGGCGGUUGCGUGUGGAAGCGCCGUCGCUCAACGGAUAAAAGGUACCCCGGGGAUAACAGGCUAAUCUUGCCCAAGCGUCCAUAGCGACGGCAAGGUUUGGCACCUCGAUGUCGGCUCAUCGCAUCCUGGGGCUGAAGCAGGUCCCAAGGGUUGGGCUGUUCGCCCAUUAAAGCGGUACGCGAGCUGGGUUCAGAACGUCGUGAGACAGUUCGGUCCCUAUCCUCUGCAGCCGGAGGUGAAUUGAGGAAAGCUGUCCCUAGUACGAGGGGACCGGGACGGACGCAGCUCUCGUGUGCCAGUUGUCCUGCCAAGGGCAUGGCUGGUUAGCGACCUGCGGAAAGGAUAACCGCUGAAAGCAUCUAAGCGGGAAGCCUCUUCCAAGAUGAAUUCACCCACAGGGUUAACCUGGUAAGGCCCGUGGUAGACCACCACGUUGAUAGGCCGGAAGUGUAAGCGUGGCAACACGUUCAGCUGACCGGUACUAAUCGGCCGAGGGCUUGAGUC